rnacentral:rRNA from 1 species
AAUACGUUCCCGGACCUUGUACACACCGCCCGUCAAGCCAUGGAAGCUGGGUGUACCUAAAGUCGGUAACCGCAAGGAGCCGCCUAGGGUAGGGUCAGCGAUUGGGGUG